UGAUUGGUCAACAAAAAGUACGGUAAAAGUACAAAUUCUAUCACAGAGAGCAUAAUCAUACGUAGUAAUAAUAAGUGGAGAUAGAUCUGCAUGAUCUGAAGACUCACGAAGUGGCGAUGAACAGUAACAGAGUGCGAGGUGCGCAAUCGAAGACCCUGUAACUAAUCUGUUCGUGGUCGGUCGAGAAGAAAAGACCUUCCCUGGAGGCAAAGUGUAACGUCUAACCUUCACUGGGUCAUACGUUAUAGUCAUUCAAAACGCAAACAUUCUACUCGCACUACCAUGCCCCCUCCUCCGUACUCUUAUUUCUUCCUUCACACAAAACACGUAUUCAGUGGAGUUUAAUAAAAUUGCUUUCUCCA